rnacentral:misc_RNA from 1 species
AACGCACCUUGCGCUCCUUGGUAUUCCGAGGAGCAUGCCUGUUUGAGUGUCAUGAAAUUCUCAACUGCUUUUGGCUUUUGCUUGAAGUGAAGUUGGAUUUUGGAGGUUUUGUCGGCGUGCUCGACUCCUUCUAAAAGCAUGAAGCUUUUUCCCCUUGGCGCAAAAGUAUCUUUGACGUGAUAAACAUCUACGUCGCAGAGAAAGCGGAGGGUGCUCUCCUUAGGGGAGUGCUUUCCACAGGGGGGAUCGGUUUGUUGCAUGAGGUUUAUGGCCUCGUUUGACCAAUUCGACCUCAAAUCAGGCAGGACUACCCGCUGAACUUAA